rnacentral:rRNA from 1 species
UACGUAGGGUGCGAGCGUUAAUCGGAAUUACUGGGCGUAAAGCGUGCGCAGGCGGUUCGUUGUGUCGGUGGUGAAAGCCCCGGGCUUAACCUGGGAAUGGCCAUGGAAACUGGCGAACUGGAGUGUGGCAGAGGGGGGUGGAAUUCCGCGUGUAGCAGUGAAGUGCGUAGAGAUGCGGAGGAACACCGAUGGCGAAGGCAGCCCCCUGGGCUAGCACUGACGCUCAGGCACGAAAGCGUGGGGAGCAAACAGG